rnacentral:tRNA from 1 species
AAGUAAAAAGCAAAAUUUUGCAUUUAGUUUCGACCUAAAAAUUUGAUUUUAAUCUUUACUUU